AAAGGCUGACAGACGAAUGCCAGAUGUGAUCUGCAGAGGCAAGUUCCCACGUAGGCCUGCGCUUAAUCACCGGUCACUUCAGAGGAGCUGACAGCAAGAAAUACACAUCAUGUCAAACAGCUUUAGUGAAGAUCAGUCUGUAUUCUGGGUUACCCACCUUAGCCACCUGAGCUGACUGAACCCACUCUAAAUGAUGCUUGGGGUUCGACCAGAGAAGCAAGUUUCACAACCUGGCUGCCAUCUUGGAUCAACUCCAGGUGUCUGAGAGCCUUAUUUUUCGUCUGGUGGUUAAAUAUUUGGUGACUCUGCCCCCAAAAUGAGAUUUAAAAGAACAACUUCCUGGUCAGAUUGUUCUUUUGCACAUUACACAUGAUGUUUCACAACUUUACAAGUCCUGAAACAACUGUGAACCUCAGUUGUGCACAUAUGUCAGUA